rnacentral:rRNA from 1 species
AAGAAAUAAAAGGUCGAACAGACCUAGAUUCCCAAAUUCUACACCAGGAUCUUUUCUUAAUCCAACAUCGAGGUCGCAAACUAAUUUAUCGAUUAGAACUCUUUAAAUUAAUUACG